UCAUCACCAGCAACAUCUAUAAAAUUAUGUCAGGCAUCUGUAAUGUCUUUUCGGGGGCAGUUAGUUUUAUGAGCUAUUGCCAAAGCCCUUAAAAAUUCCAACUGACCAAUAGAUUACCAAAUUUGACAAUAUCUUGUUAAUUAAGAAGUUUUAUUUUCAGAAAUCCUUUGUGAAAAUAAAAUCGUUCUGCCAUACUUGGUUUCUGUUUUUGUGAAAAGAUCAAGAUUUUAGAUUUGGUAGAGAAAAGCAGAUUACUUGCGUUAACAUAGAAAAGGGAUCUAAAGA
rnacentral:lncRNA from 1 species